rnacentral:tmRNA from 2 species
GGGGCUGAUUGGCUUUCGACAGGAAUGAAGAGGCUUAGGUGCAUGUGAGCCGGCACGCUCUCAAACUACCACAUUUUUUAAACGCAAACAACGCAAAUUACGCUCCAGCUUACGCAAGAGUCGCGUAAGUUUAUCGCUUUUUGGAGCCGAGCAUAGUAUUUCUUUCUAGCGGAAAGCUAUCCUCGUCAUCUUUGCUAGAUGCUCUUUUGCUUUUACCUAUGGCAAGGGAAAAGAUUUAGGUUGCUUGUGGAUUCUAUCUUGGGACAUUGGAUAGCCACAAAAAGACUUCAAUGUCUGCUAAACAUGUAGAUUCUUAAGAAGCUCUCAUUUUUGGACUGGGGUUCGACUCCCCACAGCUCCACCA